CUGCUUACUUCAGCAGCACAUUUACUAAAAUCGGAGUGAUACCAAGAAGAUCAGCAUGACCCCUGCACAAGGAUGACAAGCAAAUUUGUAAAAUGUUCCAUAUUUUU
ensembl:snRNA U6 U6 spliceosomal RNA